rnacentral:tRNA from 1 species
GGUGGCUCAGUGUUUAGAGUGCUUGCCUUGCAUGCAUGAGACCCUGGGUUCAAUUCCUCAGCACCA